GCACCUUUGCCCAAUGGGGGAUUGACUACUUGAAGUAUGAUAACUGCUACCAUGAUGGCUCAGCACCUCAAGACAGAUAUGCCAAGAUGAGCUAUGCAUUGCAUAAGGUAGGCCGGCCAAUUCUUUACUCUAUAUGUGAAUGGGGAGAGGAGUACCCAGCAAAAUGGGCUGGCCAGUACGGUAAUGCUUGGAGAACCACAGGGGACAUUAAAGACACCUGGGAGAGUGUCACAUCAAUUGCAGAUGAAAAUAACAGAUGGGGAAGAUAUGCUGGUCCUGGCA
rnacentral:misc_RNA from 1 species